AUUGAACGCUGGCGGCAUGCCUUACACAUGCAAGUCGAACGGUAACAGGUCUUCGGAUGCUGACGAGUGGCGCACGGGUGAGUAAUACAUCGGAACGUGCCCAGACGUGGGGGAUAACGAGGCGAAAGCUUUGCUAAUACCGCAUACGAUCUAAGGAUGAAAGCAGGGGACCGCAAGGCCUUGUGCGUUUGGAGCGGCCGAUGGCAGAUUAGGUAGUUGGUGGGAUAAAAGCUUACCAAGCCGACGAUCUGUAGCUGGUCUGAGAGGACGACCAGCCACACUGGGACUGAGACACGGCCCAGACUCCUACGGGAGGCAGCAGUGGGGAAUUUUGGACAAAGGGCGAAAGCCUGAUCCAGCAAUGCCGCGUGCAGGAUGAAGGCCUUCGGGUUGUAAACUGCUUUUGUACGGAACGAAAAGGCUCUGGCUAAUACCUGGGGCACAUGACGGUACCGUAAGAAUAAGCACCGGCUAACUACGUG
rnacentral:rRNA from 1 species